GACCAGAUUCUUGUUCUGAUGUUAGGACGAUCUCAUGCAUUACAUUUAGUGGAUCAUUAGUUAUAUAGGGAAUGGAUUUCAUCAUUGCCCAUACUGUAAUCCGCGCCCCUACUUGUAAGCAUUCUUAUGAUGAUGAUAGUACAUCAGAAUAAAAUUCACUCCUUGGAAAGAAAGGAAAAAGACAACGGAGAAAGUAUAAUAAUGCCGCCACAACAAGGGCAUUUAAGAAUCGAGCAACCACCACCAACAGAAACAACCAGAUUGACUAUAUAGUGACAACAGUAAGGUCUCAAUACACUUUAAACUAGAGGAGAGAUUCUUGGACCAAAAAGGAAAUAUAAAAUAAAAGGAUACAUAUGCCACCUAAACUUAUUGAGAAAAACUUGCCACCCAAACUAAAGAGUAAACCAACUUUUUUUCCUACUUCGCUUAAACCAAAA
rnacentral:misc_RNA from 1 species